GAGAGAGAGAGAGAGAGAGAGAGAUAGAGAGAGAGUUGUGCUGGAGAAAUGAACUCAAGAAGAAGAAGAAAUAAGGAAGGAAAGGCAUGGAAUUGAAGGCAAUCAACUAAACUUCUUGAGAUUAAAGUUUAAGGUCACGCGCUAUGAUCCGUCCGAUUUGUCUCUAGAGCUAUCUGUGAGUAACGACCUUGUAAAGAUAUGUUGAAUUAUAAAUAUUUUCUGACUUAUAAAACACUCUGUUUCUGAAAUACUAUUUUCUGAUUGAUUGAAUGAUUGUCCUGUUUUAUAAACUAUACUCGUGGCAUCCUUAGCAUAUGUUUGCUGUUACUGUUAUAGAGAUCUCUGUUAGUUCCAAUUCUUGAAACUUCUAUUUACCGUAUUGAUGGCCAUCAUAUACGUAUGUUGGGUCUUCAUGACCGUCUGUUCGGUCUUCAUGACCAUUUGUAUUGUUCUGCUAUUGGAUGUACCACGUAUAACUACUAUGCUUUCUGUAUGAAAUACGUAUCUGUUUCGCAUAUGAUUCUGAUUUUCUAUUUUACUGUUAAAAUUGACCGA